UCUUCUUCCUCCAUUUAGCAAAACACAGACUUGCUUUCAUCCAUGGCAGAUCUUGCCAUCCCAUUUUCGUGCAAUACGCACAGCUCUCUCUUCACGCCUCACUCCCUCAUCCUUUCCUCUUUCAAACAAAAUGUUAUAUUGCCACAGCCAUGGCAGAUUUUAACAGACCCAUUUUCGAAUAUCUCCAGAUCAACAUCCAAUAAACGUCUCCUUCCCUCCUGUCUUCAACGACUGAGUCAACACAAGAAGCCGAAUUCUGAAAAUCAAUUGAUACGAAACAGAGAUUUGUUCAAAAUUCAAACGGAUAUAUCAUUUCGAAACCCCGCCCAAAUCGUGAACCCUAGCACUCACUUCACCUAUAAAUAUCAUGUUAAGAGCUCAGCCAAAAAAAAAAAAAAAAAAGAGGAUACGAAUCCCUACUCUCUAUUUUGGUAUCUGAUUCAUCGAAAAAGAAAGAAUACGAAACUUUAGUUCGCAAAAUUCUUCAAUACUUUCAUUCGAGUUCAUUUGGCUCAAGGUUCGGUUCUAUUCAUAACGAGAGAGUAGAUCCGACGCCGUCGACACCCCAUUUCACUGUACACAAAACAGUUUCAUUUGAAACUCAACGCCGCCAAUGUCGCACGGAGCCAACAUGAUAUUACUUCUCCUUUACGUCCGUUGAAUAAUGAAAGCCUGCGGGCAGUUUACCACUUCUGGGGAGCUGAAUGAAGAACAUGCUUAUCAUCCUACGUUCUUUUUUCUCUUUUCUCUGUUUGAUAAUUUGUGUGUUUGUGUGCUGAAACCGGGUCAUUAUAGCAUUAACAAUUAGACUACUUUUAAUUAUCUAGUGUCAUUUAACUCUCGCCUAAUAGGACAUUUGUCACAUAAGAGUAUAAUACCUAGUUAGUUUGAAAAAGGAAGCCCGUAAUGUAUCACUUUAGCAAGUAUAAAAGUAACAUUUUAGCAAAACUUGAUUCUGUUUCAUUUUUUUACGAGACGUUUAACAAUUCC